AUAAAAAAUCUUAAAGGACUUAAAAGAAAAUCCACAAUAAAUCUUAAAAGAAUCCUUAAAAAACCUUAAAAAAUAUUAAAAUAAUAAAAAAAUAUAUCUUAAAUAAAUCUCAACCAAAUUCUAAUUUAAUCCUUAUUGAAAUCCUAAUAGACUUCAAUCAAACCUUAGACAAACCUUAAACUCUAAACCAAAUCCUAGACAAAUUCUAAAUCCUUAAUCAAAUCCUAAAAAAAUCCCAAAUCUUAAAUCAAAUCCUAGAUAAAUCCUGAAUCCUAAAUUCUAAAUCCUAAAUCAAAUCCUAGACAAAUUCUAAUCCUAUACCAA
rnacentral:lncRNA from 1 species